AACUCGCGUGAGGGAUAGCAGUGAAGCUCCUUUUUUAAGGCUUUUGAGCCGGAAGAAAAAGAGCGGGAACGAAUAGCCCGUUCGCCG
rnacentral:sRNA from 1 species